UGGUCUACUCUAAUGCUUGGCAUUGUACUACCAAAAUGCCUGGCCUCGCUUGUAGACCAGAUCGAGAACCACGUUCGGCACUCGGAUUAACCCAAGAAUUGAGCUUCGAAAUAGCUCUUUUCUUCCUUCUAGUGACACAG
ensembl:snoRNA snoRNA:Psi28S-1192a snoRNA:Psi28S-1192a